CUGUCUGUGCCAGGGUGGAGCAUGGUCCAUGCCAAGUGACAGAGAUGCUCAGAUUGUGCUCUCAGGAUGACCAAGUGGGAGACAGCAGCACCAGUGGUGGCAGAGACCCCUGACAUCAAGCUCUUUGAGAAGUGGAGCACCAGUGAUGUGCAAAUCAACGACACUUCCCCACAAGAUUACAUUGCAGUGAAGGAGAAGUAUGCCAAGCACCUGCCUCACAGUGCAGGGUAGUAUGCCACCAAACACUUCCACAAAGCUCAGUGCCCCAUUGAGGAGUGCCUCACUAAUUCCAUGAUGAUUCACGGCCGCAAUAACUGCAAGAAGCUCAUGACUGUGUGCAUCGUCAAACAUGCCUUCGAGAUCAUCCAACUGCUCACAGGCGAGAACCCUCUGCAGGUCCUGGUGAACGCCAUCAUCAACAGUGGUCCACAUGCAUUGGGCAAACCUGGACUCUGAGAUGACAGGCUGCGGACGUGUCCCCACUGCACCGUGUGAAUCAUGCCAUCUGGCUGCUGUGCACAGGUGCUCUUGAGGCUUCCUUCUGGAGCAUCAAGACCAUUGCUGAAUGUCUGGCAGAUGAGCUCAUCAAUGUCACCAAGAGCUCCUCCCACUCCUAUGCCAUCAAGAAGGACGAGCUGGAGCAUGUGGCCAAGUCCAACAGCUGA